AAGCGGAGGAAAAGAAACCAACAGGGAUUGCCUCAGUAACGGCGAGUGAAGCGGCAAAAGCUCAAAUUUUAAAGCUGGCAUCUUCGGUGUCCGCGUUGUAAUUUUGUGAGGCAUCUCCGGGUAGGGCGCCGGCCUAAGUUCCUUGGAACAGGACGUCACAGAGGGUGAGAAUCCCGUGCUUGGCUGGCUGUCCCCGUCCAUGUGAGGUGUCUUCGACGAGUCGAGUUGUUUGGGAAUGCAGCUCAAAAUGGGUGGUAAAUUUCAUCUAAAGCUAAAUAUUGGUGGGAGACCGAUAGCGCACAAGUAGAGUGAUCGAAAGAUGAAAAGCACUUUGAAAAUAGAGUUAAAAAGUACGUGAAAUUGUUGAAAGGGAAGCGCUUGAGACCAGACUUCGGUAGGGGGUGAUCAGCCGUCCUUCUGGGCGGUGCACUUGCCCCCCUCCGGGCCAGCAUCGGUUGAGGCGGCGGGAUAAAGGUCCCGGGAAUGUGACUCCUCUCAAGGGAGUGUUUAUAGCCCGGGUGAAUGCCGCCAGCCCCGACCGAGGACCGCGCCCGCAAGGGUUAGGAUGCUUGGCAUAAUGGUCUUCAGCGACCCGUCUUGAA
rnacentral:rRNA from 1 species